AUACGGAGGGUGCAAGCGUUAUCCGGAAUCAUUGGGUUUAAAGGGUCCGUAGGCGGACUAAUAAGUCAGGGGUGAAAUCCCACAGCUUAACAGUGGAACUGCCUUUGAUACUGUUAGUCUUGAGUUAUAUGGAAGUAGAUAGAAUGUGUAGUGUAGCGGUGAAAUGCUUAGAGAUUACACAGAAUACCGAUUGCGAAGGCAGUCUACUACAUAUAUACUGACGCUAAUGGACGAAAGCGUGGGGAGCGAACAGGAUUAGAAACCCUAGUAGUCC
rnacentral:rRNA from 1 species